AACGGGGGGAACUAGUGUUAUUCGUCAUGACUGGUGCGUAGGAUCCGUAGGUGGUAAAGUAAGUUUAGAGUGAAAGACUGUAGUUUUCCUACUUAGCCGCUCUUUAUACCGCUUUACUUGAGGAUGGGUGAGGAUCACGUACUCUAUAUGGAAAGGUGGAAUUUGUCGAUAUAUAGAGGACGGUCGAUAGUGAAAGCAUGAUUUCCCAACCAUUCCUGACGCUAAGGUAUGAAGGCACGGGGAGCAAAGAGG
rnacentral:rRNA from 1 species